AGGUAGUCACUUUACGUAAAACCAUUAUUCUAUGGCGGCGUCUAAAUCUAUCAAAGGAACUCGUUUAUUAAUCGACAUUACCCGUUAAUUUUUACUCAAGCUACCAAGUUUGUAUACCGCCGUACCUAGUAAACUAAAAUUUAUACCCUAACUAACUCAGAAUCAGGUCAAGGUGCAACUUAUUCUUGUGAAUAAAUAAGUUACUAUAAACUUUAUUUAUGGAAAAAUAAUAAAAUUUAUUAAAAAACAGGAUUUGAUCUCAAUUUAUAACUAAAAAAUAUAACCGAAAUUUUCUACCCGUGC
rnacentral:rRNA from 1 species